AGCCAGGUAGCUCAGCCGGUUAAGUGUCUGACUCGACUUCAGGUCAGGUCAUAGGAUCAAGUCCUGUCUGGGCUC
rnacentral:tRNA from 1 species